rnacentral:rRNA from 1 species
CAGCCGCCGCGGUAAUACGUAGGGGGCGAGCGUUGUCCGAAGUUACUGGGCGUAAAGCGCGCGUAGGCGGCUUCUUAAGUCUGAGGUGAAAGGUUCAACGCUUAACGUGAACAGUGCCUUGGAUACUGGGGAGCUUGAGUAUGGGAGAGGGCAGUGGAAUGGCUGGCGUAGCGGUGAAAUGCGUAGAUAUCAGUCGGAACACCCAUGGCGAAGGCAGCUGCCUGGCCUAAUACUGACGCUGAGGUGCGAAAGCGUGGGGAGCGAACGGGAUUAGAUACCCCGGUAGUCCCUGUCUCUUAUA